GACGAACGCUGGCGGCGUGCUUAACACAUGCAAGUCGAACGGAAAGGCCCCCACUUUUUUGGUGGGGGUGCUCGAGUGGCGAACGGGUGAGUAACACGUGGGUGAUCUGCCCUGUACUUCGGGAUAAGCUUGGGAAACUGGGUCUAAUACCGGAUAGGACCAUGGUUUAGUGUCUCAUGGUGGAAAAAUUAUUGUUUUGGUGCAGGAUGAGCUCGCGGCCUAUCAGCUUGUUGGUGGGGUAAUGGCCUACCAAGGCGUCGACGGGUAGCCGGCCUGAGAGGGUGGACGGCCACAUUGGGACUGAGAGACGGCCCAGACUCCUACGGGAGGCAGCAGGGGGGAAUAUUGCACAAUGGGCGCAAGCCUGAUGCAGCGACGCCGCGUGGGGGAUGACGGCCUUCGGGUUGUAAACUCCUUUCGUUAGGGACGAAGCCGCACCUUUUUUGGGUGUGGUGACGGUACCUUUGUUAAGAAGCACCGGCUAACUACGUG
rnacentral:rRNA from 1 species